UACAGAGGUCUCAAGCGUUGUUCGGAUUCAUUGGGCGUAAAGGGUGCGUAGGUGGCGGGGCAAGUCAGGUGUGAAAUCUCGGGGCUCAACCCCGAAACUGCACUUGAUACUGCCUUGCUCGAGUACUGGAGAGGAGACUGGAAUUUACGGUGUAGCGGUGAAAUGCGUAGAUAUCGUAAGGAAGACCAGUGGCGAAGGCGGGUCUCUGGACAGUUCCUGACACUGAGGCACGAAGGCCAGGGGAGCAAACGGG
rnacentral:rRNA from 1 species